GAAGCGUGUUGAUGGGUGGACUGUAGAUAAUAGAUUUAUACCCUGAAGCGUGUUGAUGGGUGGACUGUGGAUAAUAGAUUUAUACCCUGAAGCGUGUUGAUAGGUGGACUGUAGAUAAUAGAUUUAUACCCUGAAGCGUGUUGAUGGGUGGACUGUGGAUAAUAGAUUUAUACCCUGAAGCGUGUUGAUAGGUGGACUGUAGAUAAUAGAUUUAUACCCUGAAGCGUGUUGAUAGG